rnacentral:rRNA from 1 species
UUGACCUCGGAUCAGGUAGGGAUACCCGCUGAACUUAAGCAUAUCAAUAAGCGGAGGAAAAGAAACCAACAGGGAUUGCCCUAGUAACGGCGAGUGAAGCGGCAACAGCUCAAAUUUGAAAUCUGGCUCUUUUAGAGUCCGAGUUGUAAUUUGCAGAGGGCGCUUUGGCUUUGGCAGCGGUCCAAGUUCCUUGGAACAGGACGUCACAGAGGGUGAGAAUCCCGUACGUGGUCGCUGGCUAUUGCCGUGUAAAGCCCCUUCGACGAGUCGAGUUGUUUGGGAAUGCAGCUCUAAAUGGGAGGUACAUUUCUUCUAAAGCUAAAUAUUGGCCAGAGACCGAUAGCGCACAAGUAGAGUGAUCGAAAGAUGAAAAGCACUUUGGAAAGAGAGUCAAACAGCACGUGAAAUUGUUGAAAGGGAAGCGCUUGCAGCCAGACUUGCUUACAGUUGCUCAUCCGGGUUUCUACCCGGUGCACUCUUCUGUAGGCAGGCCAGCAUCAGUUUGGGCGGUAGGAUAAAGGUCUCUGUCACGUACCUCCUUUCGGGGAGGCCUUAUAGGGGAGACGACAUACUACCAGCCUGGACUGAGGUCCGC